rnacentral:rRNA from 1 species
UACGAAGAGGGCUAGCGUUGCUCGGAAUUACUGGGCGUAAAGCGCACGUAGGCGGCUCUUUAAGUCGGGGGUGAAAUCCUGGAGCUCAACUCCAGAACUGCCUUCGAUACUGUAGAGCUUGAGUUCGGGAGAGGUGAGUGGAACUGCGAGUGUAGAGGUGAAAUUCGUAGAUAUUCGCAAGAACACCAGUGGCGAAGGCGGCUCACUGGCCCGAUACUGACGCUGAGGUGCGAAAGCGUGGGGAGCAAACAGG